AAAUUGUUAUAUAUAAUUUUGUAUAAAAAAAAAUUAGAUCAUUUACGUCAACAAUUUAUUCGCUAAAAAUUCAAUUUAUAAAAUGAAGAUAAGGAGAGACGUUUAUAAACCCGUUUCAUGUGUGUCAGGCGCGAUAAGGCGUUUCCUGCUCGUGUUUUGAAAGUCGGUUAACCAAACUCACUUGAUUUUCAAUAUAAUAAAAUAAAUCUAUUUUCAUAAAAUCAAAAUAAUUCAGUGUCAAUGAAAUGAAAAAAAAAAUUUUCAAUUCAAAUUAAAAAUACGGAAAUUAAAGUGACGAAAUUUCGGGCAAUGACCUGUUUCAAAAAAAAAAAAAAAAAAAAAGAAACCUGAAUCUUAACUGAGCGCGCGAGUCUUUAUAAAAGUUGUUAAACCGCCUGGGGUGAAAAAGAUAAUCUCAAAAGGAAAAAUAAAAAUCGUUUUUUUUAAUCACAAGAGUUUUUAUAUUAGAAAAAGGCAAACAAAAAAAGAAUAAUUAUAUUCUAACAUUUGAAUUUCAGGGACGCGAGUAACUUCCUCGCGACUAAACGACACUUAAUCGUUUCACGCGUCUAAUUAGCAAUGCAUGUACACCACUAUCACGAAAAGGAUCUCGAAUUAACACAACAAAAAAAAAAACUAGUUUCUCAUACAUACACAAAUUAUACCCACACGAGAGAUAUGACACGUGCUGCCAGAUCAGCAAUGCGUGCAUAAUGUUGGACUAUAUACAAUGACGAAUAUAAUCACGCAAAAAAAAAAAAAAAAACAAGAUACAUAUGCAUUUGCAUGUGCAUUCGCGAUAAAAUGUGUGCGUAAUUCAACCACGAAAAAUUCUGUGUUAUGCUGGAUGAGAGAGAAAGAGAAUGAGAGAGGAAAAAGAAAAAUGGAACAAAAAAAAAAAAAAUAAAAUAUGAGCAAAAGGAGGCAUUUCCUGUGUCAGCCUACACACAGGGCGACACUCCAGCUGCAACUAUGUGAAAUUCAAAGGAGCUUUACCGUGAUGGGAUAAAAAAUUAAUUUUCAAUGAGAAAAAAAGAAAAGAGAUGGCACAGAAUAAAAAAGAAGUAUAAAAAUUUUUUUCAAGAAGAAUAAUUAUCAUUUAAAAAUAGAAAAAUUUCGCAAAAUUCAAGUUUCACAGCAUCUUGAUAAUAUCAAAUUGGAAAAAUAGGACAAACGUAAAAGUAAUGUGAGUGGAAAUCGGAGAGGCGAAACUAAAGUCGAAAGGGUUGGGACUCUCUCUUUCUCUCUCUUUCUCUCAUGUAAUGAAAGAGGGAAUAAUAUGUUUCGCAACGUCCUAACCUGGGGCAACGGAGGAUUGGUUGACGUACAUUGUGUGCACAAUAAGGGAGAGAAGUGAAAAGCGGUAAACUGAAACUGGAAGCUGCUGGGAGCCUCAGCAGGUGUCACUCGGCACUUCUGACGAGACACCCUAAAUAAGAAUAACAACAAUCCUUGGUCUGAGGACAAAGAAAAAAAUUUUCCUCGCCCUUAUUAUUAACAAAUUGGCAUUACUUGGACACCUACUUACCCACGUGUGCGAGGUCGAUGAUCGGUAUCUCGCAUUGGCUGACAAGAG